UUCUGCAAUACCUCUAUAGCUUUAGUGCCGCCAAGUGCCAUUUACAUUUUUGUUUUAACUUAAUGAGCUAAUCUUAGAACUGUAGAUGUUUGGGAAAGCAAGAAACAGAUAAAUGAGAGAAAUGAGUUUACAAUGAGCAACAGAAUGUGGGAACCAUUAUAUAUAUGUCGAGCCAUAUUAUCAACGUAUCUGUGCUUCUGUGUAAAGUGUCCAUGAAAAAUUUUCAACAGUCCUUUUAAACUGAUACAUGCACUGUAUAUGUUUUAAUUUGUUUUAAAUCUACCUCUUAGCUGCAUUCUUUGAACAUAGUAUCAACUAGCCCACCCUCCUUUAAAUGGGAGGGUGGUCC
rnacentral:lncRNA from 1 species